rfam:Acyrthosiphon pisum strain LSR1 Contig22869, whole genome shotgun sequence.
UUUCUUACAAUGUCAAAAUUAACCGACACUUUACUGGACAUUGUAAGAACGG